UACGGAGGAUGCGAGCGUUAUCCGGAUUUAUUGGGUUUAAAGGGAGCGUAGGUGGAUUGUUAAGUCAGUUGUGAAAGUUUGCGGCUCAGCCGUAAAAUUGCAGUUGAAACUGGCAGUCUUGAGUACAGUAGAGGUGGGCGGAAUUCGUGGUGUAGCGGUGAAAUGCUUAGAUAUCACGAAGAACUCCGAUUGCGAAGGCAGCUCACUGGACUGCAACUGACACUGAGGCUCGAAAGUGUGGGUAUCAAACAGG
rnacentral:rRNA from 1 species